rnacentral:rRNA from 1 species
GCGCAACCCUUAUCAUUAAUUGCCAUCAUUGAGUUGGGCACUUUAAUGAGACUGCCGGUGAUAAACCGGAGGAAGGUGGGGAUGACGUCAAGUCCUCAUGGCCCUUAUGGGUAGGGCUUCACACGUAAUACAAUGGUCGGUACAGAGGGUUGCCAACCCGCGAGGGGGAGCUAAUCUCAGAAAGCCGAUCGUAGUCCGGAUCGCAGUCUGCAACUCGACUGCGUGAAGUCGGAAUCGCUAGUAAUCGCGGAUCAGCAUGUCGCGGUGAAUACGUUCCCGGGUCUUGUACACACCGCCCGUCACACCAUGGGAGUGGAAUCUGCCAGAAGUAGGUAGCCUAACCGCAAGGAGGGCGCUU